UACGUAGGGUGCAAGCGUUAAUCGGAAUUACUGGGCGUGAAGCGUGCGCAGGCGGUUGUGCAAGACAGAUGUGAAAUCCCCGGGCUUAACCUGGGAACUGCAUUUGUGACUGGCAGGCUAGAGUAUGGCAGAGGGGGGUAGAAUUCCACGUGUAGCAGUGAAAUGCGUAGAGAUGUGGAGGAAUACCGAUGGCGAAGGCAGCCCCCUGGGCCAAUACUGACGCUCAUGCACGAAAGCGUGGGGAGCAAACAGG
rnacentral:rRNA from 1 species